rnacentral:rRNA from 1 species
AAUCAACGCUGGCGGCGUGCCUCAGACAUGCAAGUCGAACGCGAAAGUUUCCUUCGGGGAACAAGUAGAGUGGCGCACGGGUGAGUAACACGUAGGUAAUCUACCUUUGGAUGGGGAAUAACAACCGGAAACGGUUGCUAAUACCGCAUAAUGCAGCGGCACCUAAUGGUGACAGUUGUUAAAGCGGGGGAUCGAAAGACCUCGCGUCUGAAGAGGAGCCUGCGGCGGAUUAGCUAGUUGGUAAGGUAAUGGCUUACCAAGGCGACGAUCCGUAACCGGCCCGAGAGGGCGGUCGGUCACACUGACACUGACAUACGGGUCAGACUCC